UCUUACUCCACUCUUACACACUCUUUGAUUUACUCUCUCUUCUUCACUCAGUGUUUGAAGGCACAACACCAUCUUUAGCUCUUGGUGAGAGCCACAGGUUAUUGCUAUCUCGUGGAAAACUACUCCUCUGACUAAACACUCCAAACCAUUACCCGUUGUAGGAUUACCACGAAGAGCUGUCUCAUUCCACACAUCCAUUUUUUUUCUUGCACAUGUAGUUGAAAAGAAGGGGUAAAGAGACAAAAGUAUAAAGCUACCCCAUUGGCUGAAACUACAACAAGAGAUCUCCUGCAAGUGACAUCAUUACUCCCUCUCCCGUUGAGCAGCAUAUGUCAUGACCACAUGACUUGAUUGAGGAAGCAAACGUCAGUUCAUGCCCUGGAGAGGCAACCAGGAGAGGAGACAUAAACUAAGUGUUAUCGAUUGUUUCUUUGCAAGUAUCCUAUCC